GUUCCCAAUGAUGCUGAUAUACUUUACCAUGCUAAUGAUAGAUAACAUUUGAUUAUUCCUUUCAUUAUACCGAGGGAACU